UUAUACGUAAUUCUCUCUUUUUUGACAAUCCGUUUGUUCCUUCGCUGUUCAUCGAACCCGGUUUAACUAUACACAAUAGAAAUACGUCAAAUUUCAUGUUCGUUUUGAUACGUCAUGGCCUCUUGGCCACACUCUAACCCGAGUGCUCUAGGUUUAACGACAGCAUAGAAUUAAAAAUUCUAUUUUCACCGCACGAUUUCGACAAUUUUUUCCCGUUCUGAGCUGGCAACCAUUCUUUUCAGGAAUCAAAUUGUUGAUAGGAAAAAUAGGUUGAAAUCGACCCGCCAGAUAAAUACCGGCUGAAGUUUGGCAUCGACAGGGAAUAACUGCUCAGAAAAUUACGGUUCCUAACUAUAAGUCCGUACUGAGCCGUCAGGAACAAGUCCUUCAGGCAGGCAGACGGCACGUAAGGGUUGAUGUUGGAAUCGAAGAAUACACUUACGGAAGUCGUCCCGGAAGUACCACGUAUACUUCUCAGCAGCGUGCAAAGAAACCCGUCAAAAUGCUGGUGCGCAAGGUGCCCAAAAAACAACGACAAUCCAAGCCCCGAUUGCUGAAUACAACCUUUUUUCAAGCAUGCACCGCAAAAGUUGCAUCAAACGCAUAACCCCCUCUGCCUCUGACUGUGUAUGAAAAGUGGUUCACUAGUAUUAAACGACGAUUGUUUGAACGUUCAAUAGAACCGCUAAACCGGUGUUCAUCGUCAGCUGUAAGAAUCCAUAUUUCAGUUUGCGUACUUUUAUGCGGAGUUAGUUUUUAAAUCGGAUGUAAAAGGUUUGGUCGAAGGCAGUUUUUGCGAAAUCAUACGACAAAUAUUUCAAGUUACAACCUCGGUCACAAUAAGGAUAUUUUAUUGAUAUGAAUUUGAAGGACAAUGCUAAAAUGCAAUCUAUUGAUGCUGGUUU